rnacentral:rRNA from 1 species
AUUGAACGCUGGCGGCAUGCCUUACACAUGCAAGUCGAACGGUAACAGGUCUUCGGAUGCUGACGAGUGGCGAACGGGUGAGUAAUACAUCGGAACGUGCCUAGUAGUGGGGGAUAACUACUCGAAAGAGUGGCUAAUACCGCAUGAGAUCUACGGAUGAAAGCAGGGGAUCGCAAGACCUUGUGCUACUAGAGCGGCCGAUGGCAGAUUAGGGAGUUGGUGGGAUAAAAGCUUACCAAGCCGACGAUCUGUAGCUGGUCUGAGAGGACGAUCAGCCACCCUGGGAAUGAGACACGGCCCAGACCCCUACGGGAGGCAGCAGUGGGGAAUUUUGGACAAUGGGCGCAAGCCUGAUCCAGCAAUGCCGCGUGCAGGAUGAAGGCCUUCGGGUUGUAAACUGCUUUUGUACGGAACGAAAAGCCCUGGGUUAAUACCCUGGGGUCAUGACGGUACCGUAAGAAUAAGCACCGGCUAACUACGUGCCAGCCGCCGCCGUAA